UCGACGUGGUUUCGUGACUACUGGCUGAGUCAACAUCCAGAGGGGAGUUUUGACGGCAGUGUUGGUGAUGAUGAUGAUGAUGUUGUGGAUUUGUUGCCGGAGAAGUUGGAUGUCGGUUUUGAUGAGGAGUAUGCCAAUCUGGAAGCUCAGUUUGAGGAGCUGAUCGUGUGGAAUGAAGAAGAGAAAGAGGAGCAGCAGCGACCUCUUAACGGUGUUAAAAUGGAUGUGAAACUUGUACU
rnacentral:misc_RNA from 1 species